GAGACCGGCGCACGGGUGCGUAACGCGUAUGCAAUCUGCCUCUCACUGGGGAAUAGCCCGGAGAAAUCCGGAUUAAUGCCCCAUGGUAUUUUGGAAUGGCAUCAUUCUAUUAUUAAAGAUUUAUCGGUGAGAGAUGAGCAUGCGUCCCAUUAGUUAGUUGGUAAGGUAACGGCUUACCAAGACGAUGAUGGGUAGGGGUCCUGAGAGGGAGAUCCCCCACACUGGUACUGAGACACGGACCAGACUCCUACGGGAGGCAGCAGUGAGGAAUAUUGGUCAAUGGGCGCAAGCCUGAACCAGCCAUGCCGCGUGCAGGACGACGGCCCUAUGGGUUGUAAACUGCUUUUGUACGGGAAGAAACAGCGAUUCGUGAAUCGCCUUGACGGUACCGUAAGAAUAAGGAUCGGCUAACUCCGUGCCAGCAGCCGCGGUAAUACGGAGGAUCCAAGCGUUAUCCGGAAUCAUUGGGUUUAAAGGGUCCGUAGGCGGGCCUGUAAGUCAGUGGUGAAAUCUCCCCGCUCAACGGGGAAACUGCCAUUGAUACUGCAGGUCUUGAAUUAUUGGGAAGUAACUAGAAUAUGUAGUGUAGCGGUGAAAUGCUUAGAGAUUACAUGGAAUACCGAUUGCCGAAGCAGGUUACUACCGAUGGAUUGAC
rnacentral:rRNA from 1 species